rnacentral:rRNA from 1 species
GCCGGCAGCCAUAUCACCCUGCAGCCCAAGACUGGUUGCCCACUGAAGCUAAGCAGGGCUGAGCCUGGUCAGUACCUGGAUGGGAGACCUCCUGGGAAAACUAAGUUGCUGCUGGAA